GACGUAGGGCGCGAGCGUUGUCCGGAUUUAUUGGGCGUAAAGAGCUCGUAGGCGGCUUGUCGCGUCGACUGUGAAAACCCGCGGCUCAACCGUGUGGUCUGCAGUCGAUACGGGCAGGCGUAGAGUUCGGUAGGGGAGACGUGGAAUUCCUGGUGUAGCGGUGGAAGUGCGCAGACGUAUCAGGAGGAACACCGGUGGCGAAGGCGGGUCUCUGGGCAGUGA
rnacentral:rRNA from 1 species